UUUGACAAUACGUAUGUGACCGUAUAUACUUAAUCCUGCUCUGAUACCAGCUGUCGCAGAACCUCCCAAGUUAUCGGGCCCACAUGCACCUGUCCUUGUCUCAAAGACCUCAGACAGCUAUGCAUGUGCACCAAACAACUUAACAGGAUCUGUUCGAGUGCCCCGAGGACCCCGGAUAAACGACUUACCGCCAAGAUCGCAAGAUUAAGUAAACACAAAUCACACACCAAUAUUUGCAGCGGAAAUAAAUUAUUUAUUACAAAAUGGUUACAAGUUACAACAUUUACAAGUUAUAGCAAGAUUACAAUAUAUAUCAUCAGAGUUGGUUACAAAAGAAAUUGAUUCAAAAAGAUUACAAUUUGAAUGUAUAAAACAUUUAUAAGUUUUAAAAUACAUGCUAGCUUAAGUGACAAUCCUCAAUAAAGAAGCUAAAGAUGGGAUAUACUUAUAUAAGAAGGUCGAGCCCACCAGCACUUAGCAGCAUCCACAACAGAACAAAAUUAUAACCUGAAAAACAACAGGGAAUAAAACCCUGAGUACGCAAUUACUCAGCAAGACUUACCCGACUAAAGAAAAGACUCUCAAGGAUAUGCUGGUUUAUUGGGAAUCAAGGUAAGGCUCAUCAAAUUUCAAAGACUCGUUUUUGCAGAAAAGCAUACUAGUAGUGGAUCCUUAUGCCAAAAUUUUACUUCACAAGUUAAGUACUUUUCCUGAAUCUAGAUUUGCCUAAUCUAGAGCAUUCACUUGUCCUACACUAGCUUCCUUUUAUCAACUUUAGUUUCACUUGUUAUCUACGAUGCAGGGCAGUGAUCCAGUCUUCAUAUCCGAGAAGUAACGGCGAUCUGAAUCGAUUAAUACUCAGUUGAGGAUCUCCAACCACACGACAUAUGUAGCACUUAACCCUUGCAUAUGUCAACUCGCCACCGGGUUUCUCAAGACCAGAACGGGUUCACGCGACCCGAGAGCACAGCACUCCACCGUCCAGCCAUUGGCCUGGUUGGUACACGUUACUCUCGCCAUGGUGCCCGCCAUGUUUCCGAGAGUACAGCACCCCACCUUCCAGUCUCUUGCCACGGAGGGUACAAGCUACUCUCGCCAUCUCUCCACUCCUAGUGCGUGCGAGCUGUUCUGGUAUUGGUCCGACCGAGGCAAAGCUUACCCAUGAUGAGGCAUGUGGCUAGUUAAAGGGUCCUAGAUCAGCAGACCAACAAUCGGAACGGUCCUUAAGCGACACAGACGGGCGACCUUUCCUGCUCAGCGUCUGGUCUAGAUUUAUUCCAACCAUUCUCCCAUUUUUGGUACCCGGCAGGGGUACUUUUUCUGGAUGUUGAAUCCAUCAUGGCCAUAUGGGUUCACCAUCCCAAUUUCUUGUUCACAACAAUUUCCCAUAUCCCGUGUAACACAUCAUCUUUUUUUAAAAAGAACAACUUUUAAUUAUCUAAGCAGGGCUAAGCAUCUUUAGUUCUCUUUAUAAAACGAGGAAUCAAGGAAGAUAAUCAAAUUCCAAGGAAUGGCAAUGCAUCAAUUGUUUCAUCACUCAACUCCUAUCACCUAAUGCAACAUAUAAGUGAUAAAAGUUUUAUAACAACAAGGAGGUGGCAAAUGCACCGGGCUUGCCUGGGAUAACACUAAGUCAGUGUUGUUAGAUGACGUCCGCUUGGGGAGCAUCUCUCAUCCUGGUACUUGACCAGAUCAUCCAAGCUUCAGGUUCGUUCACCAGCAUCACCUUGAGAUCAAUCCAAACCUUGUCUUCCACAUCACGUGAUCAAUUAACGUAC
rnacentral:lncRNA from 1 species